rnacentral:rRNA from 1 species
GAGUUUGAUCGUGGCUCAGGAUGAACGCUGGCGGCGUGCUUAACACAUGCAAGUCGAACGAAGCGCCUUAUUUGAUUUUCUUCGGAACUGAAGAUUUGGUGACUGAGUGGCGGACGGGUGAGUAACGCGUGGGUAACCUGCCCUGUACAGGGGGAUAACAAUCAGAAAUGACUGCUAAUACCGCAUAAGACCACAGCACCGCAUGGUGCAGGGGUAAAAACUCCGGUGGUACAGGAUGGACCCGCGUCUGAUUAGCUGGUUGGUGAGGUAACGGCUCACCAAGGCGACGAUCAGUAGCCGGCUUGAGAGAGUGAACGGCCACAUUGGGACUGAGACACGGCCCAAACUCCUACGGGAGGCAGCAGUGGGGAAUAUUGCACAAUGGGGGAAACCCUGAUGCAGCAACGCCGCGUGAGUGAAGAAGUAUUUCGGUAUGUAAAGCUCUAUCAGCAGGGAAGAAAGUGACGGUACCUGACUAAGAAGCCCCGGCUAACUACGUGCCAGCAGCCGCGGUAA